rnacentral:lncRNA from 1 species
GUACUAGUUUGUUUCUUGGCUCAACAUUUUGCUUUACUGUUUGCCCCUUUGAGGGAAAUCCUGCUUCUUAUAACCUUAAUGCAUGCUAGUUCACAAACAGGAAAGUUUAAAGAAAAACCACGUGAUCUGACCAUGUGUAGCUUCCUAGUGGGUUUUUUUCAUUAAACAUGGAGAGAAUCAUAGCUCAGUGUAAUUACUGGCCUGUUGAUAGAACAAUCCAAAGUUUUAUGGUUGUUCCUUGUAACCUUGUAACAUUUCUGUAUUCAUGCCCCCACGUCUGCACUAUCUUUAUUUUGAGGAGUCACUGCAGAUUUAGUCUCUGCAGCCUCUACUGUGCUGCAUGACAUCUUUUUAAGUGAAUACCUUCAUGCGUUAUAACAUAGUGGCACAGGAUCAACUUAAAAGAUUUUCACAACCUAGAAGCUAAUUUUCUAUACUUUAUUAUUUUGAGGUUUAAGCAAAAAUAGUAUGAACGUGGAAAUAUUUAUGUAGUGGUAUUUAUUUAUAUCAUAAAGCAAAUAUCAAUUCAUUUCACCUGAGUGGAACCUACACACAACUAGUGCUGUGUAAGUGGUUUAAGCCUGAAUAAAGGAAAGCUACUUUAAAUGAACAUUAGAAUGACAAAAAGUUAGUUUAAUUAAAUCCAUAUACUUACUAUCAGGGUAUGGCAGCCACACACCCAAUGUUUAGGAAUUUUCUUCUUUCUUUUGCGUUGCAUACUACAUUUUAAAUUUAGCUAUGGGCAUGGGCCUCUUUAUGUCCUAUCUGGAUAUUAUGUAUCUCAGUGUACCCGCCCUUUUUUUUUUUUUUUUGUAAAUUUUCUUAUCUUUUUAUUUUCCUGAAGGGUUAGUCUCUGUAGUCAAUAGGUGUCAGGAAAUCUAUUAUGAAAUUUAUUGUUAAAAGUUAGGAAUAAAUAGCCUGGCAUGGUGGUAUAUACCUUUUAAACCCAAAAGGACAACCUAGUUUACUUAGUGAGGACCUAUCUCAAAAAUCCAAAACAACUUAAAGGUAAAGGAGGUUGUGAAGGUUUUUAGUAUUUCUUAGGUUACCUUAAAGGAAGCAUGCUAAAAGAGUAGCUGUAGUGCAGUACUGCUUUUAGAACUUGUGUGUGUGUGUGGGGGGGGGGGGGGGAGUCUCUUUUUCUUAGUGUUAGAACCAAAGGGGGCAGUAGUGUUGAGUACAGGACUGGUGUGCAGUGUUUCCACAGGAGGCAGUACUGAGGAAAGCAAAAGGAUCCUGUUAGUUUUAUUAAAUUGUAAGGAAAACUUCUGAACCUACUGGUUCAUAGUAAGCAUGUUCUGUGUCGAGCUCUCACUUUUUACCUGGAGCUUUGUAAUGCUAAUGCUUUAUUUUAUAGAAGUUCAUUUCUUAUCACAUGAGCCCAGAAGUAGUGGGUUCUGAGGAAGCAGAGUCGAUGUAGGGUUCCAUUCCUAAAACUGAUGCCCUUUGGAUGUCCCGAUCUGGUUCACUAGGUAUUGAACUCGGUGUGCUUCAGAAGAGAUUGUAAAACAUGCAUAUUUCUAAGUUACUACCUCUAGAGUCUCUUUCUUUAUAUCUGAGUUGAGACUCAGGCUCUCUAGUUUUAAAUAAAUAACCCUGGCUAGUACUUUGUAAAACACUGUUGAAACUAAGACAUCACAGCCUCGUAUAGCUUUCUCGUAACAAGCAAAACCAAACAAACUUCUUGCAAAAUUAAUGACCAAAAGAUUUUUGAAUGGAAUUAUAUUUGUAUAUGUUUUGAAUUAUUUAUCCAAUACCUUCUACUUUUAGAAGCAAUGAGUCAUGAAUAUUUUUUAAUAGAGAUAUGAGAUGAACUCUCUUUACGCAUGAAAGGGAGGAGUUGUGAAUUCAGGUAGAGUGCUCCAGUACUUGCUUCUUUGCUGAACUUCUGAUAAAGGCAGCAAUUGUUUUCCAGUAGAGAAGUCACAUGCACUUGAAAGGGGACUUGGGUUUUGUGCACAAAGGAUAGUAAGCCUAUCCUAUAUGGUUUGGUCAUUCAAAGUCAGUUCUGUUAUCUUUGCUGACUAAGAGUGGUGGUGCAGCACCUCUGACAUGAUCUUCCAUGGUAGGAAUGCCAGAGCUGCCAGGAGCAUGGCCACAUUCCCCAGAGACAGUCUCAGGGAGUGUGACGAUUGUUGACUGUUGUGCAGUAGGGACUUAACUAUUCCAUGUUCCUUAGUUAUUUCCAGUAAAGGAAAGGGAGAAGAAGCCAUAGAAAUAUAUGACAUCUAUUUCCUGAUAUUGAAUAGGGUUAUAUGUGGCCAUAUAAGCUUUGUCAAUCUCAAAACAGAAGAGUUGCCUCAUCACUACCAUUUUAUUAGAUAAUGCUUUUUGACAGUGGUUCUCAACCUAUGAGUUGUGAUCUCUUUGGCGAACCUCUCUACAAAAAUACUUACAUUAUGAUUUGUAACAGUAGCAAAAUUGCUUAUGAAGUAGCAGUGAAAAUAAUGGUAUUGUUUGGGGAGGAUCACAACAAGAGGAAUUGUAUGAAAGGGUUGCAGGAUUAGGAAGGAACCACUACUCUGUGGACUUCUCCUUUCCAGUGUCACAACCUAACUUCCCUCCAGUUAUUUACUAAACACUCAUUAUGAACCAGACACUACAGUAUCUCUUCAGUGAGAACAGUUUGGAAGUGAUUGCUGAGAAACAUACAGUUCAUGCCAGGUGUCUGAUGAAACUUACCUGUCUCUUCACCUUUAUUAAAGAGUACAGAUAGGAUUUUUACUUUUAAAGCUUAUUUGAAAUAAACUGAACAGUUGUUCAAAUUUCUUUAACAUAUAUUGUCUAUAUACCAACUUAAAAUGAUUGUCUUUCCAGGUAGGUACAUUUUGAACAAGCGUAUAAGUCCAAACUGAAAAUGAAUUCAACAAGAUGAAAUAUUCAAUUUUAAAAUUAAACUGACUCUUUAAAUAAUAAAACACCAGCCUGCAAGUCUCCAAUGUCUUCCAGGAAUUAAUACCCAACAGG